rnacentral:rRNA from 1 species
AUUGAACGCUGGCGGCGUGCUUAACACAUGCAAGUCGUGCGGUAACAGGCGUAGCAAUACGUGCUGACGAGCGGCGAACGGGUGCGUAAUACAUGGGAAUCUGCCUUUUAGUGGGGAAUAACCCGGCGAAAGCCGGGCUAAUGCCGCAUAAGAUCUUCGGAUGAAAGCGGGGGAUCGUAAGACCUCGCGCUGAUAGAUGAGCCCAUGCCGGAUUAGCAGUUGGUGAGGUAACGGCUCACCAAGGCGACGAUCCGUAGCUGGUCUGAGAGGACGGCCAGCCACACUGGGACUGAGACACGGCCCAGACUCCUACGGGAGGCAGCAGUGGGGAAUAUUGGACAAUGGGGGAAACCCUGAUCCAGCGACGCCGCGUGUGUGAAGAAGGCCUGCGGGUUGUAAAGCACUUU